AGAUCAAAUACUCAUCUCCUCCUCUUGCGCCGCCUCUUCUCUCUCGUUUCUUCUCCUAGUCCAAACCUUCCUCUUUCUUCUACAUGCGCCGCUGCCGGCGAGAAGCCACGGUCGCCGAUGUUCUCCACCGUCUUCUCACUCCCUCUGCCUCACCCUCUGUCGGCGAAAAACCUGCAACCAUAUCACGGCAAAGCCGCCGCCCAAAAGCCCUAGAUCCCUAAACCACCAACUCCGCCCUCACAUCUAAGCACUGACGCCGUUCCACACGGCGUCGCCUCCCUCCUCGAAGACGAUAAAUGCGCCGCUGCCUCCCUCUGCACAGCCCGUUUCCAGUCGCCGUCCGGGUUUCAAACUACGGCGUCGCCCAAGCCCUAGCCUCCAGAUCUCGGCCUCCUCCCUCGUCUGCAUCUUUAAUUCUAGCGUUCUCCAUAUGAAAUUUUUUCUUGCAGAUUAUUUUCUUUUUUAUACUUUCUAAGAUCUAUUUUUUUUUCGUUUGUUAGUUUUCGUUUUUAAUUUUUAAUUUUUUUAAAUUUCUCUAUGUUUAAUUUUUCUUGCUGAAGUAUCAUUUUUGUUCAUUUAAACGAUAGCCAAAAAAUUUCGUCUGCAUCUGCUCCAAUGUUUUUGUUCAUUAAAAACCCUAGCCACAAAUUUUAUUUGAGAACGACUUUAGAGUUUUUCUAAUGAUAGUGCUUCUCUUUUCUUUUUUUUCCUAUACAGACAUCUUUUAUUUUUUUCGCAUUCUUAGUUUCUCGUUUUUCAAAUUUUCAUUUUGAUAGAUCUCUGAAUAUCUACACAUGAAACUGGUACUUGUUGAUUUUUAGAUAUCUGCUUUGUCUUGUUUUUCAUUUUCAUUUUCAUUUUGGUAG
rnacentral:lncRNA from 1 species